rnacentral:lncRNA from 1 species
GUUUUAAUUUUCUUUUAUCUCGCUCAAGUACUCUGAUUUCUGCUCUUUUCUUCAGAUGUUUUGAUAAUUUGACUCUGUCUCAGACAUUGAGAUUUAACAUAGAUUAAAACAGUAUUUAUAUCUGACCAGAUUUGAUAAAACCAAGGACAAAACUAGGGUUCACUAAAAAACAAGGAUUCCAUUUGCCAGAACAUAAUGUGUCUGGCUUAUUUUUCGCUCUGCACUGGAGAUAAUCUGAGAUCUGAUUUUUUUGUUUGUUUGUUUGCACUGCCAUUUAUAAAAGGUAUAAGAGACGGGCAUUCAUUUAAAAGUUAUUGUUAAAAUGACAGUCACUCAAGAUAUAGGAGACCUUGAUUCAAGUGUUCUUCCUCUUUCAUGAAAGGAUUCGAACCAUUAACUACUCUAAAAAUUGCACAUUGCAGUUUUCAGCCUCUGAGACAUUCCCAAAUGGGAGUGUCACACCCAUUUUCUGGACUUCAAACCAAUCUAUGGAGUGAACUCUGUGUUUAGCAACCAGUAUUAUCCUCCUGACUCUUCUCAUGCUUUUUCAACAACAGUUUAUGUUGGAGCUGAAUUUUCUCAAGACUCACUACUCAAUCCAAAUUGCAAAAUUGAAGCAACAAAAUUUUCAGUCAUCAUCCCAGUCAGUGGACAAGGUAUUAUGCCACACAUCUUCAGAAAUGAAAACAUGAAAUGGCAGCUGGGGACAAGAACGUCCAUGGAGCUCAAUAUAAGCCAGUUUUUGAAGUGGGUGUCAGACUAAUUCAUGAAGAAGUGAGAGGAAGAUGAUGAGGAAGAAGAGAUGAAGAAGGACAGAAGGUAGGCAUAAAGAAGUUUCCAUGUGAAUGGAUCAGAGAAAGAAGCCUGGUACAGUAAUUAGACAGUAAUACACGCUGUCGAAUGAGCAGGAUGAGAAUGAAGAUGUCUGCCUGUGCCUCUUCCCCCGACUCCCUUCCUCCCC